UUAGGGUUCGAUUCCGGAGAGGGAGCCUGAAAAACGGCUACCACAUCCAAGGAAGGCAGCAGGCGCGCAAAUUACCCAAUCCCGACACGGGGAGGUAGUGACAAUAAAUAACAAUACGGGGCUCUUUCGGGUCUCGUAAUUGGAAUGAGUACAAUUUAAAUCCCUUAACGAGGAACAAUUGGAGGGCAAGUCUGGUGCCAGCAGCCGCGGUAAUUCCAGCUCCAAUAGCGUAUAUUAAAGUUGUUGCAGUUAAAAAGCUCGUAAUUGAAUUUCGGGAUUGACACAUCGGUCGUGCCUUAAGGGGUAUGAACUGGUGUAGUCAAUUUCUCACCUUCUGGAGAACCGCGAUGCCCUUAAUUGGGUGUCGCGGGGAACCAGGACCUUUACUUUGAAAAAAUUAGAGUGUUUAAAGCAGGCAUUUUGCUUGAAUACAUUAGCAUGGAAUAAUAAAAUAGGACGGCAUGAUUCUAUUUUGUUGGUUUCUAGGAUCACCGUAAUGAUUAAUAGGGAUAGUUGGGGGCAUUAGUAUUCAAUUGUCAGAGGUGAAAUUCUUGGAUUUAUUGAAGACUAACUACUGCGAAAGCAUUUGCCAAGGAUGUUUUCAUUAAUCAAGAACGAAAGUUAGGGGAUCGAAGACGAUCAGAUACGUCGUAGUCUUACAUAACUAUGCCGACUAGGAUCAGACGAUGUUAUUUUUAAAAGUUGCACU
rnacentral:rRNA from 1 species